rnacentral:tRNA from 4 species
GGGCCCGUAGCUCAGCUGGGAGAGUGCCUGCAUGGCAUGCAGGAGGUCACCGGUUCGAUCCCGGUCGGGUCCACCC